rnacentral:rRNA from 1 species
GUGGGGAAUAUUGGACAAUGGGCGAAAGCCUGAUCCAGCCAUGCCGCGUGUGUGAAGAAGGUCUUCGGAUUGUAAAGCACUUUAAGUUGGGAGGAAGGGCAGUAAGUUAAUACCUUGCUGUUUUGACGGUACCGACAGAAUAAGCACCGGCUAACUUCGUGCCAGCAGCCGCGGUAAUACGAAGGGUGCAAGCGUUAAUCGGAAUUACUGGGCGUAAAGCGCGCGUAGGUGGUUUUGUAAGUUGGAGGGGAAAUCCCCGGGCUCAACCUGGGAACUGCCUCCAAAACUGCAUGACUAGAGUACGGUAGAGGGUAGUGGAAUUUCCUGUGUAGCGGUGAAAUGCGUAGAUAUAGGAAGGAACACCAGUGGCGAAGGCGACUACCUGGACUGAUACUGACACUGAGGUGCGAAAGCGUGGGGAGCAAACAGGAUUAGAUACCCGUGUAGUCC